rnacentral:rRNA from 1 species
UGCUGGAGGUAUCAGAAGUGCGAAUGCUGACAUAAGUAACGAUAAAGCGGGUGAAAAGCCCGCUCGCCGGAAGACCAAGGGUUCCUGUCCAACGUUAAUCGGGGCAGGGUGAGUCGACCCCUAAGGCGAGGCCGAAAGGCGUAGUCGAUGGGAAACGGGUUAAUAUUCCCGUACUUGGUGUUACUGCGAAGGGGGGACGGAGAAGGCUAUGUUGGCCGGGCGACGGUUGUCCCGGUUUAAGCGUGUAGGUGUGUGUUCCAGGUAAAUCCGGUUCACUUUAACACUGAGGCGUGACGACGAGGCACUACGGUGCUGAAGCAACAAAUGCCCUGCUUCCAGGAAAAGCCUCUAAGCAUCAGGUAACAUCAAAUCGUACCCCAAACCGACACAGGUGGUCAGGUAGAGAAUACCAAGGCGCUUGAGAGAACUCGGGUGAAGGAACUAGGCAAAAUGGUGCCGUAACUUCGGGAGAAGGCACGCUGACACGUAGGUGAAGUGAUUUACUCAUGGAGCUGAAGUCAGUCGAAGAUACCAGCUGGCUGCAACUGUUUAUUAAAAACACAGCACUGUGCAAACACGAAAGUGGACGUAUACGGUGUGACGCCUGCCCGGUGCCGGAAGGUUAAUUGAUGGGGUCAGCG